rnacentral:rRNA from 1 species
UAGGGAAUCUUCGGCAAUGGACGGAAGUCUGACCGAGCAACGCCGCGUGAGUGAAGAAGGUUUUCGGAUCGUAAAGCUCUGUUGUUAGAGAAGAACGUUGGUAGGAGUGGAAAAUCUACCAAGUGACGGUAACUAACCAGAAAGGGACGGCUAACUACGUGCCAGCAGCCGCGGUAAUACGUAGGUCCCGAGCGUUGUCCGGAUUUAUUGGGCGUAAAGCGAGCGCAGGCGGUUAUUUAAGUCUGAAGUUAAAGGCAGUGGCUUAACCAUUGUACGCUUUGGAAACUGGAGGACUUGAGUGCAGAAGGGGAGAGUGGAAUUCCAUGUGUAGCGGUGAAAUGCGUAGAUAUAUGGAGGAACACCGGUGGCGAAAGCGGCUCUCUGGUCUGUAACUGACGCUGAGGCUCGAAAGCGUGGGGAGCAAACAGG